rnacentral:rRNA from 1 species
GUCGAACGCUGGCGGCGUGCUUAACACAUGCAAGUCGAACGAUGAAGUUCCUUCGGGAAUGGAUUAGUGGCGAACGGGUGAGGAACACGUGAGAAACCUGCCUUUCAUUUUGGGAUAACUCCGGGAAACCGGGGCUAAAACCGAAUACUCCGUCUCGGCGGCAUCGCUGAGCCGGGAAAAAAUUUUGAUGAAAGAUGGUCUCGCGGCCUAUCAGCUAGUUGGUGAGGUAAUGGCUAACCAAGGCAACGACGGGUAGCCGGCCUGGGAGGGCGACCGGCCACACUGGGACUGGGACACGGCCCAGACUCCUACGGGAGGCAGCAGUGGGGAAUAUUGGGCAAUGGGCGCAAGCCUGACCCAGCGACGCCGCGUGAGGGAUGAAGGCCUUCGGGUUGUAAACCUCUUUCAGUAGGGAAGAAGCGAAAGUGACGGUACCUAAAGAAGAAGCACCGGCUAACUAUGUGCCAGCCGCCGCCGUAA